rnacentral:rRNA from 1 species
UACGCGGGGGGCGAGCGUUGUUCGGAAUUAUUGGGCGUAAAGGGUGCGUAGGCGGUUCCGCAAGUCCUGUGUGAAAUCUUCGGGCUCAACUCGAAGUCUGCACGGGAAACUGCGGGGCUUGAGUGUGGGAGAGGUGAGUGGAAUUCCCGGUGUAGCGGUGAAAUGCGCAGAUAUCGGGAGGAACACCAGUGGCGAAGGCGGCGACCUGGGCCAAUAUUGACGCUGAGGUGCGAAAGCGUGGGGAGCAAACAGG